CCCCGUGGCUGUUGUUCAUCCCCGUCCCUUUCGCUCUAACCUCGCCAAAGUCGCCGCUCCUGCAGUCCUUCGGCGCCAUCCAAUCUCACGCCAGACUCCCGCGGUAGGAGAGGAGAGUAUGAACGAAGUUCCUUGCAGCGGCAGCGGCAGCGACGAGGAGCCCUUUCUGUUUCCACCUCCUUUCUUUCGUGGAUGCCGUGUCUUCUUUGCCCGUCAGAGCCCAGAUCUGGCUGUGGUUUGACUGGGAGAAGAAAAUAUACAAUUCAUUGUGGCACUGUUAACGCUAGCAUCAGGAGGUUGUUCAUGUCAUCAAAAUGUGCAACCAGAAUGAAAGUGCAACUACACUGCAGCUUCUUCGAGACAGGGUAUCCUUAAAAAGAAAUGUAAGACGAAGGAGGGUAGAGGAGAUCGAGGAGGGAGGGGGCCGUUGCGAGGAGAUAGUUGGAGGUCAAGCAUUGGCAUUGGAGACAAGGAUCCGCGAGCGGGAGAGGCGACGCUGGGCCGGCCAUUUCCACUGCGUCGGCAGAAGCCAGCGGAGUGAGCUCGUCAGCGUGGCAUCGAACUAUACAAUGAAGUCAGAGUCCAGCCAGAUCGUUUGCAAGGUGUGCAUCCCCAAAUCCAUCUCCUUCUUUACUCCCUUUGAUUUCAAUUUCCAGCAAGUGCUUUUCGGCCAACUAGCAGCGAACUAUCCGUCCAAGUCAACAUGAUAAGCCCCCUUCCCUUCUUGAGAUUGUUAUCUGUAUUGUUUGAUUUUUUUAUUCACUGCGGCUGGACAUGAUGUUGGCAAAUACAGUAGAGAUCAUGGGCUGAGACAAUACAAUAGAGAUCAUGUCGACGCUGGAAAUUUUGCUUUUUAUAAAAGCAGGACAGUUAAGAAAAUUGCUUAUAUUUUAUUCUUCAUUUAUAUAUCAGUUGAAGAAACUUUAUACAUUGGUUCCUAAUUUGAUGCAAAUAACCAAACUGAAUGGACAUUAUUUAGCAUCCAAGCACGGUGCGCAGUGCACCAGAUCUGAGGCAACACCGCCACCUGCAACUUGUCCUCCUUGGUCCGAUUCGCCACCCUGCAUCCCCCAAAACCUCAUAAGAUGCAUUUAUGUAAUGAUAAGAGCAGUACAAUGAAAGUCCCAAAUUUGUAUAGAAACAAAACUGAAAAGGGACAAUGUACUGCACCCGUAAUAUUCAGGCAAGUCUCUCAAAAGAAAACAGUUCAAUCAUAAACUGUAUAUUUGGUGAAGCGGUUAAUAUAGACUUGAAAUUACAAGUUUAGAAUUCGCUUCGGACUUUCUAAUUUAGAAGUAUUUAAGUUUAAAUUCAAUAAGAAUUCUGAACUGCACACGCUGUAGAAUGUUGUUCAAGAAAGGAUUGUUUACAUCUAAGCAGACUACUUUGAUGCAAUAUGGGUUUGUAAAUAACCUGUCAGCAACAUUAUCUGUUAUUACCUUCUUGAAGCUAGCAACAUGGUGUUCCUUUUAUUGGCCCAUAUUUAUUCUUAUAGCCUUUGGUUCUUCACUUGUGCCAACUGAUUUCUUAUCUUCAACCUCUGCUUAUUUGCAUAUGUCCUUAAUGUUGCUUCCUUUUCCUGGAGAGGCUAGACUUCAUAUUUUUUUGCCACUACAACAAUAUUUUUUUUACUAUGUAGUGAAAUAAGGGACCGACAACUGAAUAUUUUUAUGCCAACACACUUCUUGCUGGUGUGUCCUUUUAUCAAUAACAUGCUUGCUUCUCAAGAGACGCAAACUGUACCCGAUUAAGAACGAGAACAACAACCUUUGCUUCUACUAGGUACUUUCAUUUAUUGACAUUCACCUGCUUGUGUUGUUAACAUUUAGUUCCAUCUAUCCAUCAAUUAGUUAUUAGUUUUUGUAUAUUUAAAUUAAGCGUUGGGGAAGAGUAGCAAAUCAUAAAUUUGAAACAUGUAUCCUCGCAUUUGUGACUAUCUUAUAGUCCAUGAAUAAAUAGUUACUACUUCAUUGGCGCAGUAUUAUUUGCCGAAAUCCCUUUGGGCCAAUAUUUGACAUGUCUUUAUUUCCUCCUUUCCCUUAUACAAAUAUUAAAUUUUGGCCUGGGCUUAUGUUUUUACUACCCCUACAGAUCAUUAUUUAUUGUAAUUUUUCUGCAAUUUUCUAUAUCGCCUGUUCUGGUUGCACUAAAACUUUCUUCUGCUAAUAUAAUUUUUUUCACAUUCUGAGGUUUAUCUAUCCUUUUUUGCAUGUGAAGAUAGAAAUGAGGUUUUUAGAUAAAAGGCUAAGCUCUGAGGAAACAUGCCUUGAAAAGGUUCAUGCAUAGUUUGGAAAGCUAAUUAGUUAAAUGUUGCGUUCGAUAUUCUCAAGCAUCUCCUCGAUUUUAUCAUUACCAAUUUGAGACGAUUUUCUUUGUCUCGGUUUAAGGCUAUUUAGCCUUCAGUUCAUGACCAAUCUCAUAAUUUGCUCUAAAUGAUAGAAGUUUUCACUGCACGAGUGGUUUGGCCUGUUAGAAACAGUUGUAGUGUACUCAUUUGUUGGGAGUGUGAGUGCUCAUCGCACUAUGUAUUGUAGAAAUCCACUGGAUUAGCCAACGGUAUGCUGCACCGUUUGUGCACCGUUUGCUUCAAAACAAUCCUGGUAUAUUUACUGAUUAUACAAUUCUUUGAUUUCCAUUGGUCAUUUUUCUCUUUGUGUUCUCAACUCUAUAUGAUAUCUAUUUUUCUUAAAUUUUGUGCAGCAAAUGAGUAAGAGCUAUUACAUUGUACAUGCUACUUAUCACCUUCAUUGUUAUGUUGUGAACAAAGUUGAACUGUUUGGGCUUGUGAAAAAGGUAGAAUUUACUAGCCGUGUCAUGAGAUAUGGCCCUUUUUAAUGGCAUACCAUAUGAAGAUUCUUUUAGUCAGUAGAACUUCUAUGCAUGACUUCAGCACAUUACAUCUUCAUUCGGUGAAGGAUGUCAUUGGAAUUUUCUUCAUUAUUUAACCAAGUGAAGGAUAGCAUCACACAAUGGUGUAGUCUAGGAUAGCGAUACCUACAUUUUGAUUUUUGCACAAUACAUUGCAAUAUAAUAUACAUGAUUUUAACUUGGUACUUUUGAUGAAUUUUAUCUCAAGUUCUUCAAUGAUAAUAUUGUUUCCGCUUGUUGCUUAAAGCUGUUUCCCAAUCAAAAAAAUCUUCUAUCUUUCGGUUUGUUUCCAGCAAUGUGUAUUGUUAAAUUAUCUAUGUUGCUAUUAUUUUGGAAAUGAAGAGACUAUUCUUAUGAUAUUGGUUAAAAUACUAUUUGCUAGACACUUUUACUUCAGAUGUAUGGUUAUUGUUGAUACUAAAAUCU